rnacentral:lncRNA from 1 species
GGAAAUUGCAUUGCUCAGUUAGACAGUUUUUUUUUUUUUUUUUCUCUCCAGCAAAGCUUUGAAUGUAACAGUCAUUCAGGUCACUCGGUCUUAUCUUUUCUCACCUUUGGCUCCUGAUAGAAGCUUCCCAUACACAUGGAUGAGCAUCCUAGGGAAGAAGCAGAGUGAGCCUCCGGGGAGUCAGUGCAUGGACAACUCUAGAAGUUUCUAUGGGGAAGAAACCUUGGCAAGGACUUUGGAAUCACACCACUUGAAUAUAUUCAAGAGUGCCAUUUUGCCAGCAUGCCACUGGACAGAUCUCAAGAUGUUUCUAGCAAAAUUGUGGGGCUGUAGUUAUGGAUUGCUUGCUGUGGGGCAGAAGGAAGAGACUAGUCAUUCAGGUGGGUGGAGUCAUCACAUACCAUGACAGAAUACAGGAAGGGACG